rnacentral:lncRNA from 10 species
AUACAUAUGUAUGUAAUUAAAAUUGUUUUUCUACCAUUAAUCUGUUUUAUGUCAACUUGAUUUAUAGACCAGCCAAAGAACCUAUAAUGGUAGAAGAAAGCAUUUUUCCUCCCCUGUAGGACCAAACAAUACAUGGCAAACAGCAUGGCAAAGCCACAGGAAAGAUAACAUUCUCUGGGAUUAAUAAAUAACAACAGUUCUCAAAGUGUGGUCCUGGGACUCACAGCAUGAUCAGCACCUGGAAGUUUGUUAGAAAUGCAGAUUCUUGGCCAGCCACAGUAGCUCACACCUGUGAGCUACUUUGGGCCGAGACAGAUCACUUGAGGUCAGGAGUUCGAGACCCGCCUUGCCAACGUGGUGAAACCCUACCUCUACUAAAAAUACAAAAAUUAGCUGGGUGCUGUGGCACUUGCCUGUAGUCCCAGCUACUCAGGAGGCUGAGGAAGGAGAAUUACUUGAACCUGGGUGGCGGAGGCUGUAGUGAGCCGAGAUUGCACCACUAUACUCCAGCCUGGAUGACAGAGUGAAACUUCAUUUCCAAACAAACAAAAACAAAAAACAAAACAAAAACAGAAAUUCAGAUUCUUGGGCCAACCUCAGACCUACCACAACAGAAACUCUAGAGGUGUGGUCCUGCAAUCUGUCCUGUAACAAGCAGUUCAGGUGAUUCUGAUGCCUGCUAAAGUCUGGGAAAUGCUGAUAUAGAGACAAGGAAAUGAACUCCUUCAUUCCAGGUUGCUGGUUAGGGACCACCCUCAAUCGCUGGAUAUGUUUUGCAUGCUAGGAAGAAUAAGAACAACAUUUAAAUAAAAGCAGAGACAUGUGGAGAGGUAACCCAGCGAAGAGAUGGACUUGGAACAUGGAAGACCUGUGUCUUAGCCUGUUUUGCUUUGCUAUAAAGGAAUACCUGAAGCUGGUAAUGUAUAAAGAAAAGAGGUUUGUCUCAUGGAUCUGCAGGCUGUACAGAAAGCACACCAACAGCACCUGCUUCUGUCAAGGACCCAGGAAGCUUCCACUCAUGGCAGAAGAUCCAUGAAUUUCGGCAACCAAUUUGAAGACUCACACAGAGGAAUGGAAUCAGCAUGAGAAUACAACUUCCUCAUCUCCCUGUUCCAUGACGCCCUGUGUUCUUCAACCCAUCAAUGAUCCCCACACUUUGGCCCACUCCAAAACCCUUAGAAACUCUAACCCCAAAUUCCUUGGGGAGACAGACUUGAGGUUUCUCCCCAUCUCUUGGUUCACUGACCCUAUGAUUAAACCUGUUUCUCUGCUGCAACCCAGUGUCUUGAUGUAUUGACUUGCUGUAUGUAUCAGGCAACAAACCUGUCAGGCCUCUGAGCCCAAGCCAAGCCAUCACAUCCCCUGUGACUUGCACGUAUACAUCCAGAUGGCCU